UACGGAGGGGGCGAGCGUUAUUCGGAAUUAUUGGGCGUAAAGGGCGCGUAGGCGGCUUGAUAAGUCAAAGGUGAAAUCCCUCGGCUCAACUGAGGAACUGCCUUUGAAACUGUCUGGCUUGAGGCCGGGAGGGGGUAGCGGAAUUCCCAGUGUAGCGGUGAAAUGCGUAGAUACUGGGAGGAACACCGGUGGCGAAGGCGGCUCUCUGGUCCGUUUCUGACGCUGAUGUGCGAAAGCUAGGGUAGCGAACGGG
rnacentral:rRNA from 1 species